AAUUGCCGGUGUAAAGACGGUAAUAGAGGGAUUGCUAGGUUUGAGUAGAGAUGAAGGACGUGGCAAGCUGCGAUAAGCCCGGGGUAAGCGCACGCGACUUAUGAUCCCGGGAUGUCCGAAUGAGAAUCUUAUGUUUACAUACUCCGUUACAUAGGUGGCGGAGGUCGAACCGUCGGAAUUGAAGCAUCUUAGUACGACGUGGAAGAGAAAUCAAUAGAGAUUACCCAAGUAGUGGCGAACGAAAAGGUAACAGCCCAAACUGAAUCUGUUAUGGUAACUUAACAGAGAUGUGGUGUAUACGGACUCAUAUAAUAAUCCUAGAACAUAGUUGAAAUAAUCUGGAACGUUUUGGCAUAGAGGGUGAUACCCCCGUAAACGAAAUGGUAUAGGAUUAGUUGAGUACCAGAGUAGAUGUCCUUGGUAGUGGGCAUCGAAUAUUAGGAGAAAGUAGCUUCUAAGGCUAAAUAUAACUCAAAACCGAUAGUGUACUAGUACCGUGAGGGAAAGCUGAAAAGUACCCCGGAAGGGGGGUGAAAAGUGCAUGAAAUCUAUUACUUACAGACGUGCGUAGCAUGAAAGGUGAUUUUUCUUGAUUGGAGGUUCUAGCAAUAGAGCUAAAGAUCUUGAGCUCAAAUCAUCAGUGUUACGCGUUCCGUCUCGAAACACGGGCCAAGGAGCUAACUGUCAUGGCAAGACUAAACCUCGAAAGGUGGAGUCGAAGGGAAACCGAGUUCUCGCAACAUUAGUGAGGAGAAGCGUGUGAAAGUGCGUUGAGUCAUGGCGGCUAGGCUAGAAGCCAGUCGAUCUAAUCCUGAGCAAGCUGAAGGGGGGCGAAAGCCCCUUGGAGGGCUGAAGCAGUUCUGACGUGCAAAUCGUUUGUGUGACUUGGGAUUAGGGGUCAAAAACCAAUCUAGACUGGCGAUUGCUAGUUCCAACCGAAGCGUCUCGUAGGGCGUCCUUAGUGGAGAUAGCGUUUCCUGUAGAGCACUGAUAAGGGAGUAUGGGGAAGAAAUUCCUCGCUCCCCAUUCAAACUCCGAAGGGAUAUGCAUUGUAGAAGCUAGGAGACGGGUUCGUGUGACGUAAGGUUCACGACCGAGAGGGGUUUAACCCAGACCGAAGUUAAGGUCCCUAAAUUUUUUCUAAGUGUCAAGCUAAAGUGUGUGUUCGCGCCAAGACAGCAGGGAGGUAAGCUCAGAAGCAGCUAUCCUUUAAAAAGUGUGUAACAACUUACCUGCCGAGCGUGGGCGCCACAAAAACGGACGGGGCUAAAGAAAAGUACCGAUACUUUGGAUACAUGCCAAUGGGCAUGUCAUGGUAGGUUGAGCGUAGUGAUUGGGUCGAAGCAGGGCGGUGACGUCCUGUGGACCAUUUUCUAUUGCAGAUCUUGGCGGCAGUAACAGCAUAGUAGAGUGAGAACCUCUACCACCGCAAGCGCAAGGGUUUCCAGGCAAUGCGUUAUCAGCCUGGAGUUAGUCGAUCCUAAGGAUUACCUCAACAGAGUAAUUCGAAAGGGAAACUGGUUAAUAUUCCAGUACCUUGCAAGUUGCGUUAUUAUCUAUAUGAACCGCUUCCGGAUAGGGAGAGCAUAACCAUCGUUGUGUCUAAGUGUUCUAGAGAUGGGGAGUGUCGUAAUGACGAGAACCAUCUCGAGGCAUUAAUGGCUCUGCGUUAGCAGAGUUCUCUUGAGUCCAGGGGACCUUGAAAAUUUGUGUAGAAAGUGACUUGCAAGUUCGUACCGAGAACCGACACAGGUGCGCUGGCUUAGAAAGCUAAGGUGCUACGGGUAUACCGUAUGGUGAGGGAAUUCGGCAAAUUAGUCCUGUAGCUUAGGUAUAAGGGAUGCCUGCACACUUCAUGAGGAAUGGGGUGAGCAGGUUGCAAUGACACGGGGGUUCCGACUGUUUAAUAAAAACACAGGCGACUGCUAGUCCGAAAGGAUUUGUAUAGUCGCUGAAUCCUGGCCGGUGCGGGUACCUAAAACUUGGGUUCAACCGAGCUAAGGGCCCGUUAACGCCGGGAGUAACUCUGACUCUCUUAAGGUAGCCAAAUGCCUUGUCGGGUAAGUUCCGACGCGCAUGAAUGGAACAACGAGAGCCCCACUGUCCCCACCUACAACCCGGUGAAGCCACAUAAGGUGGACGAACAGUCCAUCAACUUCCAUCGGGGAGAGAAGACCCCGUGGAGUUUUACUGCAGCUUGUGCUUGUAGUAUAGUAAAGAUUACAUAGUGUAUUUGGGAGCUAUGCCUCAUUUUCUUUGGGAAAUGAGUGAAGCAACGAUGUAACACCAAAUUAUUUUUGCAGUACUACUUACCCGGUGCAGACCGGGGACACGUGCAGGUAGGCAGUUCGGCUGGGGCGGCACCCCUCUGAAAAAAUAUCAGAGGGGCCCAAAGUUUAGUUCAAACGGGUCAGAAAUCCGUUGAAGAGGGCAAAGCCAAAAACUAGACUGACAGGAUUUCCAAACGCACGGAAUUCUGAGACGAAAGUCUGGCUUAGCGAUCCUUCCUGCGCCCACUAUUGGGGCCGGAAGGUGACAGAAAAAUUACCCCAGGGAUAACAGGCUCGUCGCGGGCGAGAGCUCCUAUCGACCCCGCGGUUUGGUACCUCGAUGUCGGCUUUUCCUAUCCUGGUCCUGCAGCAGGGGCCAAGGGUGAGGCUGCUCGCCUAUUAAAAGGGAACAUGAGCUGGGUUUAGACCGUCGUGAGACAGGUCGGUCUCUGCCUGAUGGAAGCGUCGCUGUCUGAGGGGAAGUUGCUCUUAGUACGAGAGGAACAGAGCAUCGUCGCCGCUGGUGUAUCGGUUGUCUGAUAAGGCAGGCCGAGCAGCUAAGCGAUUUAGGUUAAGUGCUGAAAGCAUCUAAGCACGAAGCCUAUCCCGAGACAUGACAGCGUUACGUUAGUUGAAGGUUCGCAGCAGAAGACUGCGUUGAUAGAAUGGAGGUGUAGAUCACAAGCUUCGGCGAGUGGUGAGCCUGCCAUUACUAAUAGACCAAAACAUCGGUACGGCCACAAACAUAGA
rnacentral:rRNA from 1 species